AAAAUCUGACAAAUCUUAGCCACAAAAAAUAUUAGCCACCAAAAAAGGAGCCAUUCAAGAACAUUAUUAUUACUUUUUUUUUUUUUUUUGAUAUUUGACAAUAUUAUUAUUAUAUUGCAAUUUUAUGAUGCUAAAAAUGAAUAUCUCAAUUAAAAAAAAUCUAAAUACUGAGGAAUUCUUAAAAAUAAAUUUCAAGAGUAAAAGAAAAUGAGAAAGACAAGGAAAGGAGAAACUUCAUUCAUUUAAAGAACCAAUUAACUAUGAAAAAAAAAAUCAAAAAAAGAAAUUAAAAAAAAUUAAAAAAUUAGCAUUAUCAGAAAUAAACAAUAAAAGAAGAGGAUGAGUCUGAUGAAGAAUAAUUCAGACGAAAAUUCCGCAGGCCAUUACUAAUUCUACUUCUCGUCGGUAGUAGCCGCUCUGUGAUUCUGGCCAGAGUCGCCGUGUACGCUUGCAGUAGCUCCGCCAUGACUGACACAGUUAUCAUCUUCUCGCUUUGUUUCUUGAGGCUGUAGAUUUAAUUCUGUUUGUUUGAGUUUGGUUUUUGGAAGAGAAAGAAGCCAAAUUUAUAAACCCGGAAGGAAAGAAGGAAGGAUGGAAAGAUUGACCCGACAGCAAACGCUUUCUUAUCUUAACAAAUUCGUUAUUGUUUUAUUUUAUUUUAUUUUAUUUUCAAAUUUAAUUUAAUCAAUAAUAAUUAGACAGUAAAAACUAAU
rnacentral:lncRNA from 1 species